rnacentral:lncRNA from 1 species
AAGGAAUGAAUUAAUAAAUACAGAACAUUCAUAAAGUGAACUUUCCAGGGAAUAAAUAUUGCGAAGAGUGAGUUUUUGUAAUAGCAAAAUUCCUUCUCAUUUACAAGAUCCAACAAAUGAGGAGCGGCAUCAUGUGGAAAGAGGCAACUACUGUAAAGAAUGGCUUCUGAAGAGUCCAGUGUUCCUGUUUAUGAAUGAAAAGGAUGAAAGUCAUGUGUAUUUAACGCAAGUUGACAUCUCCACAGGAGAAAAAGUGUCCAUUGGUUUGCUACUGCAUGGUCAAAGACAUGGAUGGGCUGACUCAGUAGAUCUUGCCAUCUCCAGUAUCCAUGAAUGAUGGAUGUUUAAUGGUUGAUGCUGUGGAGGAUACAGAGCACAGCGGAAAGAAAUCUCAGAGGCAUGCUGGCUUCAACCAGAAUGACUCCAGGGCUCUGGAAGAAGUGAUUCUUCAAGGAGGGCAAGGAUCUGGUAGACAUGAG